CGUAGGGCGCAAGCGUUAUCCGGAAUUAUUGGGCGUAAAGAGCUCGUAGGCGGUUUGUCGCGUCUGCCGUGAAAGUCCGGGGCUCAACUCCGGAUCUGCGGUGGGUACGGGCAGACUAGAGUGAUGUAGGGGAGACUGGAAUUCCUGGUGUAGCGGUGAAAUGCGCAGAUAUCAGGAGGAACACCGAUGGCGAAGGCAGGUCUCUGGGCAUUAACUGACGCUGAGGAGCGAAAGCGUGGGGAGCGAACAGG
rnacentral:rRNA from 1 species